rnacentral:tRNA from 3 species
CCGGGACGAGGGAGCUGGCUGACCCGCUCGCCUUGGGCGCGAGAGACACGCGGUUCGAUUCCGCGGUCCCGGAC